rnacentral:rRNA from 1 species
UACGAAGGUGGCAAGCGUUGUUCGGAUUUACUGGGCGUACAGGGAGCGUAGGCGGUUGGGUAAGCCCUCCGUGAAAUCUCCGGGCCUAACCCGGAAAGUGCGGAGGGGACUGCUCGGCUAGAGGAUGGGAGAGGAGCGCGGAAUUCCCGGUGUAGCGGUGAAAUGCGUAGAGAUCGGGAAGAACACCCGUGGCGAAGGCGGUGUGCUGGGUUGCAACUGACGCUGAGAUGCGAAAGUGUGGGUAGCAAACGGG